GGUGAAUAAACUGCUACAAGUUUUGGAUCCGCUGGUCGAAAACCUUGCCGCCCCGGAUCCGUCGCCAUUGUUGAGGAUCCCAAGCAAUGCGUCGAGGGAUAGAUAAGUUUACUCUCAGAAGAAGUAAAAAGAAGGGAAGGGCAAAAAUUUUGCCUAGACUCCGAAUCGUUAUGUUUUCCAGAACCUUCACUUGCGCUAGGGGU
rnacentral:lncRNA from 1 species